AGGCCUAAAAUGUUAUAGUGUCUAAAAACAAUAUUCAGUUAAUGGAAUUACACUUUUUUCCAUUACUGCUUGCUUGAUAUUGCCCUAACAACUUUUUCAUGAAUCAAUUUUGAGCAUUAUGUUUACAACGUAGUUAUUAUAGCACGAAUUAUGAGUCUAAAAUGCCAAAUACUUGCAACUAUUAUGUUAAUCACUGAAAUCUUAGUGUACUAAUUGCUCGCUAUAAGCUAGGUUAUUGCGCCCCUAAACCAACGUACUGACAACGCUACCUCCCCGGAACUCAAACUUUAACCGGGCAUGACUUGGUACAUCCAGUGACCCAGCAAAAAGUAGCCCUGGUACAGCCAGAAGUAGCAACAAAUCGCAAAAGGGGAUCCUUGUCUGACUGGUGGCUGGACCACAAUGACGCUUGUUGGAAAAGGAAGGACCAAAGGUGCCAUCGUCGAGGGCCCAGAUAGAUGAAGAGAUUGAAGCCUGGGCUUCACACAAUCCUGUUAGUAACAAAAAAAGAAGGAAAAAAUGCUGUCCCAUUUGUCCAUAUGCCCAGCGCCAGAACCCAUUUAUACAUCUGGGUAGUGAGAAAAUCUAGGAAGAAGUCGCCACCCACUGAUGAUCUCAUCCAAGUUUACCAAAGACUCCAAAGCAGUGUAGGAGAGGAAUGGUGGCCUGUUCGAACAGGCAUGGACUGAAUCGCCAGCUCUCAUCUCCCUAGUCACUCCGAUGGCCACGUGUCGCUCCUCGAUCAACAGCGAUUUCAAUGAAUGAUGCGUUGAUGUGGGCAAAAAGUGAAUCCUUUCUCGCCUUUGAACUCUGGUGUUCGUCGUAUCAAUCCAUUUUGAUUGCCGAGCAACUUGUGGGCACACCUCAACUUGUUAGUGGGAAGUAAUUUGCAAUAGAGUGACUUACUUUUAUGGGCAGAGACCUGUAUUCAUCCACGACCGGAAGUGUGGAACAGUCACAUAGAGCUUAUCAAAAUAGAGCUUAUCAAAAUGUCAAGUUGUGGUAAAUACAUGGCUGGGAUGGACCAAAGUGGAAUUAAUUCUCAAUCUGUGGUUGAUUCUUAAUCUACAGAGUCAGGCCAUCACAGAAAUAUGCUUUUUGAUAAUAUAUUUAAGAAAAUGUGGUCUCACUGGUCAGUUUAGAACUUGUACUUUGACAGGGCCAUAUCAAUGCGCCAGUGACGUUUUGAUUGAUAUGGUGUACGGAAAUCUCUUUUUCUCAGGCAAUCGGUAUUGGAAUUUUUUAAAACUUUAUUAUGCUAUUGGCAAAGGGUUCUUCUUGACACAUAUAAAAUUUUGUGCAGAUUGAUUGGUCCAAUGAGUACUUUUUUUACCAAAACCUAUGCACAAUAAUGUACACGUAAUGUACACAUGUUUUAAUAGAGGACUCUGGCCUUAUUGCUAUAUUUUUUUAUUUUUUUUUCACUUCACAUCAUUGUUAUUUUGAAAAAUCCUGCCAAAAUUCUGUUGACUGUUUGUUGUCGACAAGAGUCUAUGUUUCAUGAAUAACAAGGCUGUGUUCUGUACAUUGUA